AAAUAAUUUUUGACCGCUUCCAAGAGCCUGAUAGGAGAGUGUUUCACUGAGUGGAAUAUCAUGAAGGAACAUCUAUCUCUUUGGGGCCGAUGGCAAAGAAAUUUUACAAGACAGCUUUGGCCAGGAAGGAGCUUUCACAACUCAACUUGUGUGGCCACCCAAAAAGUGAGGCUGAGUCCAAAGUUUUGCAGGAACUCUGUACAGCUAGUCCUUGGGUUUCCACAAGCUUGAGGAAAUGAGAAGGAGAAGAGGAAGAGAGAGAUUGUGUGUAAUACAUAGAGAAACAGAGACAAGAGAGAGUGAGAGCUGUGUGGAACAGUGGAAGCACACCAGCGGAGAAAGAAACCUGAUUUAUUAUCACCAAAAAUCAGCUGCAGAUGUCAGCUCACAGAUUCUCCUUCUGCCGCCAAUUAUAGACACUCACGCAAAGAUCUGCACAGCCCCAGAGUCUGCCUCUUUAUACACACACACACACACACACACACACACACACACACACACACACACAGAUCUGCAUUGAGCUACAGUAUGCAUACCUGUGCAUGCAUUCACACAUACAUGCAUACACACCUUUACAUUUGAUGAACUUGUGACUCACUGUCGAAGCUCAAACGAAAGGUUUUCACCCACCUGGAUUAUUUCCCGUUGCUCUCUGAACGCCAGUGACGGAUAAUGAAGAUGUCCAUAAAAAGCAUUAGUGGUGUGAUGUCAGCAAUAAUAAUCCCAGGAAAGAUUUCUACCCUCAAGCUUUUUUCCUCCUGCGUGUUGUUCCACUGCAUCAGUCAUUAUGUGCUAUUUCAAGUCGUUACUGUAAUCACCAAAGCAUCCUUUGGAUUUAGCGUAAUCUGUCUAUAGAUUUUUGGAUUUCAUUGUUUAGAGGAAGGAAGAUGUGAACUUGAUAAUGGCUCUCACAUAAAUCACGUAUGGGAAACAUGAUUGAAAUGCUAUUUUAUCCAGCGUUGCGCUGUACGUGCACAUAAUCAUAGAGUCAGAGAAAAUUGUCUUGAAUUUAUGUUCAGAUUGUUCAGAUCCUGGAACUCCUCAAGCAAACAUCAACCCCAACUAAAGACCUUGUGGACUUAGGACGAGGAUGACAGAGACAAAUGGACUGCAGCGAGGGUUAAUUUGUGCCAGAACCCUCUAGAUUAAGACCAGCCCCUAGUUUGUGGGAUCUCCAUUUCCUCUGUCACCAUUAACAUUUGAUAAUUAAUCUUCUGAUAUACUUAAUGCUAUUUGUGUUAAGCAUUCCUUCAUCUCUCACUGAUUUUUACCUGUAAAAUCAGUCAGUCUGUCCAACCUGUCGGAGCAGCACCUGUGUUCUUGCACUUCCUGAUUUACAAAAAUAGGCACUGGAUAGCAACAUUAGCAGGCACACAUGUCCGUCUCUAAAAGUACAAUCCAGUUUACAGUGGUAAUGCUUUGCAAUAAUACAGACAGCAUGAUCGCGUCUGGGCCAAGUUGGGGUCAGUUCAGAAUCUGGAAGCUAAAUCAGAGUAGUCACGGUUGGGGGAAAGUGGAAAACUUAAGGAAAAAUAUAUACAACAUGCUCUGUGUGUUUGCGUCGUUGGUGUUGCAUCGCUGCGUUGUUGCACAGUGAACAGCUCUGCAUUCACAAGCUCUGAUAUCACAAAUUAAACCUGAGGACAAACAAUAAAAGGAUAAUUCUAAUUUGGGAACUAUCUGCAAUCAAAGAGGUUGCUAUUAGCAGCUCUUACAUCUCAAAUGUCUCAGUUUCUAAAAAUACAAACACAGCGUUACAGUAAAUGUAGUAAACGGUGUUAAAUGCACAGAUAGGGUCCUUGAAUAUUGUUGUAAGAUAUCAAAGAGUGAAAAAGUGGAAACAAUGACUUCAUUGUCUUGUAGCCAAAGUGCUUUGCUGCACCGAGAGGAAGAAGUUAAACACAAAGCAGACAGACAACGUGCUAAUCACUAUAGUCAGGUUUUCAUCGAAUGAAGCACACAUUUGAACCCAGUUUCCAGAAAACUGGCAAAAGAAAAUGCAGAUUAAUACAUUUUUCCAUCCACUGCUAUCAUGUGAGUAUUAGGAGUUGGGCUCAUCAAGCUAAACAGUGGAUCUAAUUCUCCAGUCUUGUGCCAUUAAGCUAUUGCAGAGGGCAUGUAACGAGAUUACGUAAUUAAAAGAGCGUUGGUCACAUCUCAAAUGAUGGAAAACCAUGUUGGAAACAUGAUGCAAAUAUGACAUUUAUACUCACUUAAUGUAUUAUUUUGAGGAACGUUAGUCUCCUCAUUGGUCCUCACAGAUCAGAUGUUUUCAUCUGCUGUUAUUUUUCAUUCGUCUUCAGUAGAGCAAAAGCUUUUCUGACCUUUAAUUCUCAUACUUCAAGUACGUCAGGAUCUAUUUGCUAAGUCUGUUUCCAUUGCAGUGUUGCAUUUGUUUUUAUUGAUCCAUCAACUUUUCCAUCUCUACAUGUAGAGAUGUAAAAAAACAUUUUUUGUGAUAUUUCAGAUUUUUUUUCAGAAUUUCCAACGUUUCCACUCAGGAUUUUUAAUGCACAAAUUGAAAAUGUGCGUGAAAACAGGUGGAUAAAAAAACCAUACAUUAUAUUAAUACUAUAUUUGCCCCUCAUCAUAUAAUGGACAGCACAUACCAAACAAACAUCAGUUCUAUCCAGAAAAAGCACAGUGUCGGUAAAUGAUGCUGUCUCAUGCUGACUGCAUAGAACAUCCUAAUGCUAACAUUGUUUUUUCAUACAUCUCACUGUUUUUAUAGAUGGUAUCGACCAAAUAUAAAAUGUAUAAAAUAUUAAUUACAGACUGAAUCACCUGCCGACUCAAAAAAGAAACAUGGUUGUGUUUUAUGGAUCAUAGUAUUUAUGUUAUGCUAAACAUUCCCACAUGUGAUAUAGACAAGACAAUUGUUUAUGAUCUUUGACAGUAGGAACAACAGAUAAUGAAAAUAUAUGCAACAUGUGAGCUUGUUGAUGACAAGGUGACAUAUUGUAAAGGCAGCCAACACAGCUUACUCCUACUGUACAUAAUUAUGAAUUCAAGGUCUUAAGUUUGCUGUAGCUUUUACGCCUUACAGUGAGCAGCUCCCCUCAUAUCAAUAAAAUGUUAUUAGCCUCUGA